ACUACCCUGGCCAAGGUUUUGCUAAAUUGAAACAUGACUGUACACAGCUCCUGAACUGGAGUGGUCAAUCCCAUCUUGACACAUGCACCGACAAGUCAAGUACUUGACUACACCCAGCAGUCUUCCGUCACUGAAUUAGAAAUUCAGGUAGUCCAGUGCCUAAGUACAGUGAGUUGCUUGCAAGUCACCGUGGCGGUCUCAGGUCAGAGGGACAUUUAUACCCAUAUUCCAUCGGAGCAAAUCUUGACCGCAGAAAUAGCUCCAGAGUCGGUCACGUUCAGUGCAGAUGUACCCUUACAUCUCACCUGUAUGCCAUACCAGUGUCUCCACACUCAUUGAUUAAGAGAACAACCAAUCUAUAUGGCACACAAUGACCUAUGCUUGAUAAACAUUGUCGUCCUUGGUAACAACGUAUCAU
rnacentral:lncRNA from 1 species